rnacentral:rRNA from 1 species
ACCCAUGAACCCAUAGGUGAAAUGAAAGUGACGGUGGCUCUGGUGCCGAGGGAGGAUCCNCGUCCUCUCGCGGGCGCCCCGCAUUCACGGGGCGUCUCGUGCUACCNUCACUCCUCGGCGGAAGCUGAGGCGCACCCAGAGCGCACACGUUGGUACCCGAAAGAUGGUGAACUAUACCUGCCCAGGACGAAGCCAGGGGAAACCCUGGUGGAGGUCCGUAGCGAUUCUGACGUGCAAAUCGAUCGUCAGAGCUGGGUAUAGGGGCGAAAGACUAAUCGAACCAUCUAGUAGCUGGUUCCUUCCGA